rnacentral:rRNA from 1 species
UACAGAGGGUGCGAGCGUUAAUCGGAAUUACUGGGCGUAAAGCGCACGUAGGUGGCGACGUAAGUCGGGUGUGGAAGCCCCGGGCUCAACCUGGGAAUUGCAUUCGAGACUGCAUUGCUGGAGUACGGAAGAGGAGGGCGGAAUUCCCGGUGUAGCGGUGAAAUGCGUAGAUAUCGGGAGGAACAUCAGUGGCGAAGGCGGCCCUCUGGUCCAGUACUGACACUCAAGUGCGAAAGCGUGGGGAGCAAACAGG